CUUCCUUCUUCUGCAUUGACUGUCUGUCAAUGUUUUAGAUUUCAAUGAAUAGUUCUUCCUCAUGAAAUUCUUUUUCUAGCUUGAAUUUAUCAGAACCUUGCAAAUGUUUGACAACAGAGGAGAUGGAAGAUCACUAUUUUCAAAGGCUUGAUCAGACACAUGAAGCAAAAUAUAAAAGCAUUUACUAUCGGAUCAAUGAUUUACCAGGUCCAGGAAAAUACGGGGAGAUUUAUAAAUGUCCAGCCAUCAAUUGAAGAGAGUAGGUAGGGAGAAAUGGCCCAUUUCAGAAUGAGGCAAGCAAAUGGAUGAGCUCUUCUGAAUGAAGUGGUGGACCAAAGGCAAUCAAUGAGACAAGCUCUUCUGAAUGGAGUGGUGGACAAAAGGCAAUCAAAUUGAUGGGAUCUUAUGUAUUAGAAUUUACUUGAAAAAAAUACUUACAGCCAGUGAUGUUGGUGAAGUACUUCCCGCUAGCUCAAAAAAAACUUGGAGCUUUCGAUAUUGUUAUUGGAAAAG